CCGUCGACUGUUUGCUGCAAAAAAGAGCCUUUGACAAGCGUCCCCACCCACUGUCAGGUGGCAAAACAAGCGCCUAGUCCGUCCAGGCUCCUGGGAUCAGCCAGCUUAUCUCCUUGUCCCAGGCUGCCCCCAGGUCUCGAGAAGGGAACUGCUCCAAGGGGCAAGGAACACACAACCCAGCCCGACUGUAACCUCAUCCCCGCCCCGAGUUCCCCGGGCAGGGUCACCUGGCUGUUGAGGGCAGGCGCACAGACAGAUUCGGACACCGAAACCACAAAGGCGGCUGAGACUCGGGCUGCCCUGGAGGAACUACCGGCCGGGUAGGUGAACCGGCGUUCAGCAGACCCCAGUGGGCAAAGGACUGUGACGGCAACAAACCUGGGAGCGUGGAGGUGCGAGCGGCUCUGGCUGGGGACUCUCGGUAAAGAAACUGGCAUCUGUGAAGGAGCCUUCCACUGGGCUGCCCCCGCAGCACUGGCCACCUCCAGCAGUGAAAGCAGGAUGAGGCUGACCAGGACACCUUAACUGAGGAACCAGGAGAGCUCAGUGGAUUGAGUGAAAGGCCCAGGAGAGCCUCAGUUUUGUCACCUGAAGGAGGUUUUGUCAUGAGGAACAUGAGAUGCUAUUACGUGACAGUGCCAAGCAAGUCGAAGAUGCUUCAGGAUGAAUGGGAAGGGGAAAUUUGGACACGGACACAUGCAUAGAGUGAUGAUGAUGUAAAGAGACAUUGGGAGAAGAUGGUCAUCUACAAGCCAAGGAGAGAGGCCUGGAACAGAUCCCUUCCUGCACAGCCUCCAGCAGGAACCAACCACGGUGACAUCUUGGACUUCUAGACCUCAGAACUCGUUGAUGAGCGACUGAAGACACGACAUAUGUGAAAAUGCUUUGGAAGCUGCAAAGUGUUUUGUGCACUGAGGCACCGUUACCGUCCGCUUUCUUAGGAUGGCUGUCUGUGCAGUCCUGGUUGUUAGCUGCCAUCUGCCCUCUUGCCUUCCUCCUUGCUC